GUUGGUUAGAGAAAUCAUCACUUGAGUUACCAUUCUCCUACAUGCCCGAUGUCACAAAUGGGUGGCAUUUCUCUUAUUGCCAGUCCAGUUACAUAGUGCAAUUUGACGACUUUACCUCUAUUAGAUGCUGACCAGCUUCGUGGUUUUACAAACCAUGGAGCUCAACUUGAAGUUCUUCAAUCAAAUCACCUCCUUAUCAAACAUAUUUUAGCAUGCGGCAAAUAAGUUGAUUUCAGAUGUUACAUUGGUCUUGAGAACGCUGUUCUUUUGUAAUUCCAAAAUUUUGGGGAGCAAUCAAUGAUCUGUAGUAGAAAUAUAAUGAAGACGUACGGGUAUUAUUCUGCUGCAGUGUACAUUUAGGCGCCAGAAAGCUCUUGCAAGAAGACUAAUAUGUAGAAGAUUGUCCCUGUUUUGUGUGUCGAGGGUAAUGACCUUUUCAGUACUUUGCUACUAUAUUUUGGAUCUUUGAUGGACUGUACAUUGAAUGCUCCUAUUUUGCCUUUUUGGUUAUGGUAUGCAAGUGAAACUAUGCAAUUCCUUUUCCAUAGACGUCCUUUUGUAUUGGUGAGAGAUUGUAUGUGCACAUUUCAUGAAGCGUCAUUUUAAAA
rnacentral:misc_RNA from 1 species